ensembl:lncRNA
UACUCCCAGAGAAGCCUUCCAAAAUAGGUUACCCAACAUAGGUUAUCAAGGCGUUAAUAUAGGUAUUGUCCAUCCAUACAAAUACCAUUGCUAUACAUACCAGCAGAACAUCCAGAGACAAAUUUUGCUCUCACAGUGCCUGAGAGUACAAAAACAUCCCUUAGAGCAUACCAAGGGUUGUUCCAGCAUAAAAUGAGCCCCUGAAAUUUCUGCUUCAAGCAGAAACCAAAGGAUGCAGAAUUGUAUGAAGCAGGCUACUGUGAAAUGGGUAGAUUUACUCAAACGCAUUUUUAUGGCUACAUUUCCCUGUCAGACAAUGAAAGAAACCGGCUUCUUGUGCCAGCGUACUUGCAGGUGGGAGGGGCAAGGAAGAAAAAGAGCUGAAGUAACAGAAGGUUCAUCCUAACACACUGAUGGGUUUUACAGCACAAUAUUCAGAGCACGAACACCUACAAUGCAAUCCAAAUGUUUCCUCCAUGAUAACAUAAUGUAUUUGAAACGCUGUUUUCCAACACUUUAUAUAAAUAUUUCUUUCUUCCUGAUCCCACAUUAUUCUGUUUGAAGUUCAUGUUCUCAGUUUGUUUUGAGGACUGCAUGUAAAUAUCCCUAUAACCCUGUGUACUCUUGUGGGGCCAUUUAAACGCUACCAGACUGUAAUGGACCCAAAAGCAGAUGCCAAGAAGUCACAAUCCUGCAUCCCUAAGUUACAACUGAACCUUCUAUCUCCAGAUUAAGAAAUAAAGAGGUACUCACAGAUAUAUACACACACACGCAUGCACACCCUUCUCAUACAAGUUGCAGGAUAUUUACAGGAAAAAAUAUUUUUAAAAACCCAAAUGAAACUUAAGUUUGGGGUUUUUUUCUUUCUUUUUUAAUACAAUUUUUUAUUUGGGAACUUCGCGAUUAAUUUUGUCUUGGCCUCUUAGGAAACAUUUGCUUUUGUCCAGGACUUGCCAGCUGAGAGGAUGUUAUUGUUCGGAAGGGAUGUGACCAGGAGGACCCUGUGCACGGCACAAUGUGUCAGCCCGGAAGCAAGGGAAGAAAAGUGGUUCUCUCAUCUGGCUAAGAAAACCAAAUGGAAACAUUGAGCGUUCGCCUUCCAGUUACAGUCACCCCCAAGUGUGUCCCCAAGUAACAUGUUAGUCACGGGUAUCUCACAUGAGUAUCACCACCAAAAUAUAUCAAUAUAUUAAAAAAGAAUCCCUACUUUAAAAGGAAUUACAGAUUUCUUUAGAAAUGCAAAGAUUUCUGCCACAAACAUCUUCAAAACACAUAAGCAGGUUAAUGCUUACCCCACUGCUCUGAAUGAUGGAUGGGGUUUGACACGGCCCCCGCCCCUCAGCCUGUGCCCCCCCACCCCGAGCAUCAGCAACCCGUCCUGGCAGCAACCAUCCCUGUGGAGCCACCCAGUCGGUCGGGAGCAGGAGAGCCAAGCCCUCCCCAGCGGCCGGCACACUCCUGCCUGCCUGGGCUUCCAGUGGAGUCUGCAGCCAACUUCACUCAAGUGUUUCACACUUCACAGUACAUGUUUCAGUAGCAAUAUGAGAGCCCAGCAUGCUUCAGUGCUCGGGAAUGGUGAUGCUCCUGCAGCAUCACCUUUGAAGCCCUCUAGUUCCUUGCUGAGAGUCUUCAUCUGGGAGAUUUUUAAGUUUCAAUGCAGUUUUCUUGAAGAACACCUGUGCUUUGUGUGCGGUCACCAUUCCACGUGAGGUGCUGUGCCCAGAGGACACCUCUUACCAAACCCUUCUCUUAAACAAAGCAUUCUCCAUGCCCUCUCAGCGGUGGCCACGGUCCCACGAGGAAGCGCAGCCCCACCAAAGCCAGCAGCGGGAAGCAGGGCCCUGAGCCCUGCAGCACCGCCUGCUCCUGAGGCGAGGCUGGUCUGCGCCAGCGGGCCGGGAGCGCCCGGCCCGUGAGGCGAACGGCACCCCGCGCCCAGCUCGGCCCCACAGCGCCCGUCCGCCCUCGGGACCGCCCGCCGCAGCCGCGGCCCCCAGCCCGGCCCUCACCCGGCGUCGGGCGCGGGCGCUACCGGGCGUCGCCGGCGCUGAGCGGGUAGGCGAGGAGACUCAUGGCCUCGCCGCAGGCGGCCUCCACCUGCCGCACCUGCUGCCGGCUGAGGCGCUCCCGCCAGGCAUGGAUGGCCUCCCGCGCGUCGCGGGCGGAGAUGAGGAAGGGCCGGUCGGAGGAGUAGGCGGCGCCGCGGGUCAUGUUGAGCACGAAGUCCUCCAGCGCGGGCGGCACGGGCAGCCCGGCGAAGCGGAGCAGGCGGCGCAGCUGGGCGCGGGGCUCCCGCACCAGGUCCUCGUAGCGCAGCUGCGUGUAGCGGCGGCGGACCCAGGCCGGGGCGCGGCGGGCCAGGAGGAGGUCGCGCAGCCAGGCCUGGCAGAUCACCUCCAGGGCGCCGCCGAGGAAAAACUCGGCGCGGUGCUGCGGCGCCCGCCCGCCGCCCAGCACGCCGGGCAGCUGCUGGUGCGGGUGGCGGAGCGUCCCCCGCGGCUCGGCGCGGUGCCGGCUGCGCAGCACCUGGAUGCUCUCCCGCAGCAGCGCCUGCCGGGCCUUGAGGCGGGAGUUGUGGACGGCGCGGGGGUCGCGGAAGAGCUGCACCACGCGGAGGUUGAGGCCGGGCUCCCGCAGCAGCGGCAGCAGCGCGCCCAGCUGCAGCAGCCGCACGUCCUUGAUGACCACCACUGGGUAUUUGCGGCACUCGGCCUCCAGCUCCCGCAGCGCCCGCGGCGGGCACGUCUCCUCGCAGGCGGCGCCGUCGACGAGGCCGAUUUCGCCGCGGGCCCGCGGAGCACCGGGGCAGAGCGGCGGCGAGCAGAUCACCUUGUUGGUCCUCCAGCCGAAGAUGCCGGCCGUGGUGAGGUUGUCGGCGGCGGGCGGGGCGGGGGCCAGCGGGUCGCGGGGGCCGGGCGGCGCGGCGUAGAGGUGCAGGACGGAGAAGUCGCAUCGGAAGAGGGCGCGCAGCAUGUCGCGGAGGGCGCCCUGCAGGCUCAGCGCGUCCCCCGGGUACAGGGCCUGCCACAGGUGCCACAUGGGCUCGUAGAGGUAGAAGACGUCGGGGUGCUGGUUGAAGAGCUCCCCGAGGAAGGAGGAUCCCGUGCGCCAAGUGGCGUGCAGGUAGAUGUGCCGCUUCCCCGCCGCGCUGCCGUUACCCGCCGCCUCGUCCCCGUCCUCGUCCUCCUCUUCCUCGUCCAGCGGCGGCUGCUGCUGCUCCCAGCCCCACUCGCUCAGCGCCUCUUCCAGGCUGGGGCAGCGCCGCAGCAGCGGCUCCUCGUCCGCCCGCCCGCGCCGGGCCCCGUAGUCCAGAGCGUAGGGUACCAACAGGAGCAGCACCAGCGUGUACAGGACCAACACGGCGGCGAAACGGCGGUGCUCGCCCCGCCACCGCCGGCGGCCCUUCAUCGCGGGGGUCGGCUCCGGACCGCCGGAGCUCCGACGACCCUCUGGCUGCCGGAGGAAGGCUCUUCGCGAAGAGGCAAAGUUAGCGGCGGCGGCCCGGCCCGCCCCGCCGGGGAGCACGCCCACGGGCACGCCGGACAAGCUCGGGGCUGCCGGCCCUGCCGCUCGCCCGCCCGCCCUCGCCGCCACCGCCUCCUCCUUCGCCUUCUCCUCCUCCUGCUCCUCUUCGCAGCGCGACGCGGAAGCGCCCGCACCUGCCCCCGCCGCCGCCUGAGGAGCCGCCGCUGGCGGCGGGGCGCGGGCUGCUGCGCUGAGCGGGGCGCCGCGGCGGCCCUCGCCCAGC